GAUGAACGCUGGCGGCGUGCCUAAUACAUGCAAGUCGAGCGAACGGACGAGAAGCUUGCUUCUCUGAUGUUAGCGGCGGACGGGUGAGUAACACGUGGAUAACCUACCUAUAAGACUGGGAUAACUUCGGGAAACCGGAGCUAAUACCGGAUGAUAUUUUGAACCGCAUGGUUCAAAAGUGAAAGACGGUCUUGCUGUCACUUAUAGAUGGAUCCGCGCUGCAUUAGCUAGUUGGUAAGGUAACGGCUUACCAAGGCAACGAUGCAUAGCCGACCUGAGAGGGUGAUCGGCCACACUGGAACUGAGACACGGUCCAGACUCCUACGGGAGGCAGCAGUAGGGAAUCUUCCGCAAUGGGCGAAAGCCUGACGUAGCAACGCCGUGUGAGUGAUGAAGGUCUUCGGAUCGUAAAACUCUGUUAUUAGGGAAGAACAUAUGUGUAAGUAACUGUGCACAUCUUGACGGUACCUAAUCAGAAAGCCACGGCUAACUACGUG
rnacentral:rRNA from 1 species